rnacentral:rRNA from 1 species
UGCCUACGGGGGGCAGCAGUGGGGAAUAUUGCACAAUGGGGGAAACCCUGAUGCAGCAACGCCGCGUGAGUGAAGAAGUAUUUCGGUAUGUAAAGCUCUAUCAGCAGGGAAGAAGAUGACGGUACCUGAGUAAGAAGCCCCGGCUAACUACGUGCCAGCAGCCGCGGUAAUACGUAGGGGGCAAGCGUUAUCCGGAUUUACUGGGUGUAAAGGGAGCGUAGACGGAUGGAUAAGUCUGAAGUGAAAGCCCGCGGCUCAACUGCGGGACUGCUUUGGAAACUGUGCAUC